rnacentral:sRNA from 1 species
AACUCCUGAGCUCAGGCAAUUUGCCCGCCUCGGCCUCCCAAAGUACCAGGAUUACAGGCAUGAGCCACUGCUUCCGGCCCACAGCCCUGUUUUACUUCCUGUGUGAGCUUGGGCCCGUCACUCAACCUUUCUGUGCCUCAGUUUCCCACCUAUAACCCCACCUGCAGCAGAGCUUUCAGUGUUCCACCAGUCAGUAGGUGGCUGCACCCACUGAUCCCGGAGAGGGCGCUCAUUGUUGUCCUCUCCACGCCCUUCCCCACCCCCCUCAGGCGCUCCAGGCCCCUGCCUGUCACGAGAACAUGGUGAAGGUUGGCGGCUACAUCCUUGGGGAGUUUGGGAACCUGAUUGCUGGGGACCCCCGCUCCAGCCCCCCGGUGCAGUUCUCCCUGCUCCACUCCAAGUUCCAUCUGUGCAGCGUGGCCACGCGGGCGCUGCUGCUGUCCACCUACAUCAAGUUCAUCAACCUCUUCCCCGAGACCAAGGCCACCAUCCAGGGCGUCCUGCGGGCCGGCUCCCAGCUGCGCAAUGCUGACGUGGAGCUGCAGCAGCGAGCCGUGGAGUACCUCACCCUCAGCUCAGUGGCCAGCACCGACGUCCUGGCCACGGUGCUG